AACACUGGGACUGAGACACGGCCCAGACUCCUACGGGAGGCAGCAGUGGGGAAUAUUGCACAAUGGGCGGAAGCCUGAUGCAGCAACGCCGCGUGAGGGAUGACGGCCUUCGGGUUGUAAACCUCUUUUAGCAAGGAAGAAGCGAAAGUGACGGUACUUGCAGAAAAAGCGCCGGCUACUACGUGCAGCAGCCGCGGUAAUACGUAGGGCGCAAGCGUUAUCCGAAUUAUGGGCCGUAAAGAAGCUCGUAGCGGUUUGUCGCGUCUGCUGUGAAAUCCGAGGCUCAACUCGGGUUCUGCAGUGGGUACGGGCAGACUAGAGUGCUGUAGGGGAGAUUGGAAUUCCUGGUGUAGCGGUGGAAUGCGCAGAUAUCAGGAGGAACACCGAUGGCGAAGGCAGAUCUCUGGGCCGUAACUGACGCUGAGGAGCGAAAGCGGUGGGGAGCGAAACAGGCUUAGAUACCCUGGUAGUCCACCCCGUAAACGUUGGGAACUAGUUGUGGGGUCCAUUCCACGGAUUCCGUGACGCAGCUAACGCAUUAAGUUCCCCGCCUGGGGAGUACGGCCGCAAGGCUAAAAUUCAAAGGAAUUGACGGGGACCCGCCCAAGCGGCGGAGCAUGCGGAUUAAUUCAUGCAACGCGAAGACCCUUACCAAGGCUUGCCAUACACGAGAACGCCCUAGAAAUAGGGAACUCUUUGGACACUCGUGAACAGGUGGUGCAUGGUUGUCGUCAGCUCGUGUCGUGAGAUGUUGGGUUAAGUCCCGCAACGAGCGCAACCCUCGUUCUAUGUUGCCAGCACGUAAUGGUGGGAACUCAUGGGAUACUGCCGGGGUCAACUCGGAGGAAGGUGGGGAUGACGUCAAAUCAUCAUGCCCCUUAUGUCUUGGGCUUCACGCAUGCUACAAUGGCCGGUACAAAGGGCUGCAAUACCGUGAGGUGGAGCGAAUCCCAAAAAGCCGGUCCCAGUUCGGAUUGAGGUCUGCAACUCGACCUCAUGAAGUCGGAGUCGCUAGUAAUCGCAGAUCAGCAACGUCGUCUAAAU
rnacentral:rRNA from 1 species